AAUAAUUGCACAUUUAUAUUUUAGAAGUUAGAGAUGAAUAAUAAGCAUUUAUACCUUAUUAUUUUUAUUAUUUUGCUCUAAGACUCUAACCACAUGUAGAGGUUAAUAUAGCGUAUGUAAAGUGAAAUGUAUAGCUCCUAAAGUGUGUUACAUUCAUUUUUUAAAUUUUUCACUGCUAAUGUGUGAAUGACUCACAUCUGCAUGAGCAAAGCAACUGGGAUAAGAUGCAAUAUUGAGCCUGGAGAGCGUUGUAGCUGCUUGAUUCUGCAAAACAACCUACUUGUGGGGGGCCUUGUACAGGAGGCUCUGGUUACACUGUUUCCAAACCACUGAAUAGGGAUCGAAGGACUUUCUGAUGCCAAGAAUGCUGCAGACAGGAUACGGCUCACGGAAAUACUUUCAGACAACUACUCCUUCUACCACUUUUCUACCUCCAGUCAGACACAUGUCAGUCCAGUAUCCAGAUGCACAAACAGCACAUGGACAGUCAAUGCAGAGCUCAUCACAAAGAGAUUACAAAGCACCUGUGGUCUCGUCUGCAGUUUGUACACUGCCACCUGCUGCCUGCUUUCUCAAACCACAACCAAACAACUUUGCUCAUGCAACAAUCUCAAACACACAAGGGAAAUAUUCAGAAACAGAUCAUAUCAGAUCAGCUUGGAACCAGCAGAUGGAGAUCAUGCCAUCUUUAAAAGCCUUCAAACACCAGGGUACCCAUCAUCAAAGAUCGCGCUCAAAAUCCACUACUGAUUGCAGUGAAGGACACAGCUGUUUCUAUGUGGUGAAGCCAUAUAAAGUCGGACACUACAUCAUCCACCCAGAGUUUGUGUCAGAAGCAAAGCACUACUAAAAGCCACAUUGUUUGGGCAUUUUAUAUCUAUUUUUUUUUCCCAUUUAUUGUCAGUUUAUAAAUGUCAUUUUACAGUGUAUUAUUGAGGUACGUUAUGUGUUUGGAGAUCCUGCCUUGAGAUCUAAAUGUGCAUUACAUGACAAAUAAACAACGUUUAUGAUGUGCCUGUUAAAUGUUU
ensembl:lncRNA